rnacentral:rRNA from 1 species
UACGUAGGGCGCGAGCGUUGUCCGGAUUUAUUGGGCGUAAAGAGCUCGUAGGCGGCUUGUCGCGUCGAAUGUGAAAACUCGGGGCUCAACUCCGAGCUUGCAUUCGAUACGGGCAGGCUAGAGUUCGGUAGGGGAGACUGGAAUUCCUGGUGUAGCAGUGAAAUGCGCAGAUAUCAGGAGGAACACCGGUGGCGAAGGCGGGUCUCUGGGCCGAUACUGACACUGAGGAGCGAAAGCGUGGGGAGCGAACAGG